AUUGAACGCUGGCGGCAUGCUCUACACAUGCAAGUCGAACGGUAACAGGCCGCAAGGUGCUGACGAGUGGCGAACGGGUGAGUAAUGCGUCGGAACGUGCCCAGUCGUGGGGGAUAACUACUCGAAAGAGUAGCUAAUACCGCAUACGAUCUAUGGAUGAAAGCGGGGGACCGUAAGGCCUCGCGCGAUUGGAGCGGCCGAUGUCAGAUUAGGUAGUUGGUGGGGUAAAGGCUCACCAAGCCAACGAUCUGUAGCUGGUCUGAGAGGACGACCAGCCACACUGGGACUGAGACACGGCCCAGACUCCUACGGGAGGCAGCAGUGGGGAAUUUUGGACAAUGGGCGCAAGCCUGAUCCAGCAAUGCCGCGUGCAGGAAGAAGGCCUUCGGGUUGUAAACUGCUUUUGUACGGAACGAAACGGCUCUGGUUAAUACCCGGGGCUAAUGACGGUACCGUAAGAAUAAGCACCGGCUAACUACGUG
rnacentral:rRNA from 1 species